AUUGAACGCUGGCGGCAGGCCUAACACAUGCAAGUCGAGCGAGCGGCGGACGGGUGAGUAAUGUAUGGGGACUGCCCGAUAGAGGGGGAUAACUACUGGAAACGGUAGCUAAUACCGCAUACUAUCGGAUAACCCAUAUGGGAUUAUCUAGUAGGUGAGGUACGGGCUCACCUAGGCGACGAUCCCUAGCUGGUCUGAGAGGAUGAUCCGCCACACUGGGACGUAGACCGGGCCCAGACUCCGACGGAGGCAGCAGUGGGGAAUAUUGAGCAAUGGGCGCAAGCCUGAGGCAGCCAUGCCGCGUGUAUGAAGAAGGCCCUAGGGUUGUAAAGUACUUUCAGUCGGGAGGCGUUACCGACAGAAGAAGCACCGGCUAACUCCGUGCCAGCAGUCGCGUAAUAC
rnacentral:rRNA from 1 species